UCUUAGCUAUAAAUUAAAUUUAUUUACCAGAGUACUACGAACAUUAAGUUUAAAACUCAAAGAGCUUGGCGGUGCUUUAGACUCCUCAGGGGAACCUGUCCCGUAAUCGACAGUCCACGAACCAACCUCACCUUUUUCUCGCAAAGUCAGUAUGUAUACCGUCGUCGCCAGGUAACUUUUCAAAAUAUAGAAGUUAGCAAUCAAAAAAUUAAUUUUUCACGUCAGAUCAAGGUGCAGCCUAUGGAAAGGAGCGGAUGGGUUACAAUUAACACUUAUAACCACGGAUUUAACUUUUAACAAGUUUCUGAAGGCGGACUUGAAAGUAAAGCCUAGCAGCUAAAUGCCUUGAAUCAAGCUCUGAAGCG
rnacentral:rRNA from 1 species